rnacentral:rRNA from 1 species
AUCGAUGAAGAACGCAGCGAAAUGCGAUAAGUAAUGUGAAUUGCAGAAUUCAGUGAAUCAUCGAAUCUUUGAACGCACAUUGCGCCCCUUGGUAUUCCGAGGGGCAUGCCUGUUCGAGCGUCAUUACACCACUCAAGCACCGCUUGGUAUUGGGCAUCGUCCGUCGAAAGGCGGGCGUGCCUCGAAGACCUCGGCGGGGUUUCUCCAACUUCGGGCGUAGUAGAGUUAAAUCAAAACGUCUUAUAAGCUUGGUGAGAUCUCAUUGCCGUUAAACCUUUUAUUUUUUCAGGUUGACCUCGGAUCAGGUAGGGAUACCCGCUGAACUUAAGCAUAUCAAUAAGCGGAGGAAAAGAAACCAACAGGGAUUGCCCUAGUAACGGCGAGUGAAGCGGCAAUAGCUCAAAUUUGAAAGCUGGCCUUCUGGUCCGCAUUGUAAUUUGUAGAGGAUGCUUUUAGGCAGCCGCCGGUCUAAGUUCCUUGGAACAGGACGUCAUAGAGGGUGAGAAUCCCGUAUGUGACCGGCUCUGGCACCUUAUGUAAAGCUCCUUCGACGAGUCGAGUUGUUUGGGAAUGCAGCUCUAAAUGGGAGGUAAAUUUCUUCUAAAGCUAAAUACCGGCGAGAGACCGAUAGCGCACAAGUAGAGUGAUCGAAAGAUGAAAAGCACUUUGGAAAGAGAGUUAAAAAGCACGUGAAAUUGUUGAAAGGGAAGCGCUUGCAAUCAGACUUGGACUUGGCUGUUCAACCGGUCUUCUGACCGGCCUACUCAGUCUUGUCCAGGCCAGCAUCAGUUUCGGCGGCCGGAUAAAGGCCCUGGGAAUGUAGCUGCCUCUUCGGGGGCAGUGUUAUAGCCCAGGGUGUAAUACGGCCAGCCGGGACUGAGGUCCGCGCUUCGGCUAGGAUGCUGGCGUAAUGGUUGUAAGCGGCCCGUCUUGAAACACGG